GUCGUUGACUAUACUUUCGUCCUGCACCCUUUCGCACGAGGCUGUGGUGUCAUCGUCGACUCGGACUGUUUUCAAGGAAAACCAGGACAUACACACCAAACGUACGACUGUUCUCCACGGCCUCCCUGUCUAUCUGUGCGAGGAUGUAUCUGGAUUCUUCAGAACCUGCACAGACGAGUCUGAUGAGCCAGAGCUUGAUGGGGUUGCAGUGGGCCUCCUUACUGUCACCAGUGACAAUAACACAAGUGCAGUUCACUACCACCCUGUGAAAAUCUCUGUGAUUAUUGAAAGUGAUGUCAUGGUUAG